CCCUUGUCCCUUCUUUCAACUCAUAUGACCUCUUCAUCCCCCGGCCAAAAUAUGGUGCACAGAAAUAAGUAUUGAUUGAACCCAAAGCUAUCACUUUUCAACUUCUCACUAAUGAAUAGAUUUAAAAUUUAGGGAUUAAUAGGCUAAAGGGAUUCAUUAAACUAGUGGAAUGGCAGCUCAAUUAUGGGGAUGGAGGUGGUUGUAAUAGGCUUUUGGUUUUAGUUGUAGGGAGCGAUUUUGCUUGUCUUCGAAAGAGUCCACAUCAAAUUGAAGAAGGCUAAGCCAUUUCUUUAAGAUCUCAAAGUGAAGAUAAAGAUUGAAGAAGUAUAUCAAAGUGAAGUCAUCGUCUUGCUCAAGAAUCAAGAGGUCGUGGAUCCCGGUCUCCAGUUGGUGGAAUGGAGUAAAUAUGAGACAAGAGCGCAAUCAUGGAGCAGAGCCAUCAUUCGAAAGAUGAGUAUGAUCAUGAAGUUAGUGAUGCAUCAAUUUAUGCUACAUAUAAGGGAAAAUCACAUGAAGAUGGCAGCAACGAUAAGAGCAGGGAAUGAUAUGAUUCGAUUUUUUUUAGGUCAAUCCUUGCUAAAUAUGUUAGGUGACUCAAGAGGCUUGUUGAUUAUUUGGUUGCUAGACUUAAUAUUUUGGAUCACAACCUUUUAUUAUAACAAUAUUUAGGAGCAUCUUGAUUCCUUUGCAGUAAUUGAGGAGGAUGAACGAAAAGAAGUAUGUCUAGAAUAUGUUUUUCUUUGUACCUGUCUGUUUAUUUGAAAUUGAUGCAAAUUUUGCUUAUGCAGGAAUUAAAGGUUUGACAUCAGAAGAUACUUGUUAGUAAAUUGAAGAAGGCUUUUCCUAAUUCAGAGAAAGAGUAAAUGGAAGGGAGUUCAGCUUCUAUUAAUUCCUAGGUGGCCAAGCAAGGGAAAAGAAAAUGGACUUUGGCUGAGGAUGCGGCCCUUAUAUCUUGCAUGAUUGAUCUUAUGAAUAUGGGCACUCACAAUGCCAGCACAGGAUUUAAAUCGAGCUACUUGAGAGAACUUGAAAAAAUACUUUGGGAAAAGCUGCCAGAUUGCGUUAUAAAAGCAAGACCUCACAUUGAAUCUCGACUGAAGACAUUGAAAAAGGAAUGGGCUAUCGUGUAUGAUAUGAUGCUAAAUACAUCAGGCUUUGGAUGGGAUUCAACAUGUAAGAUGGUAACAACAGAAGACAAUGUUUGGGAGGCUUAUGUUGCGGUGAUAUAUACUUUAUCUAUUUAUUGUUAUAAUUAUCUACAUGUAGAUUGAUGAUGUUACUAACGCUCUCGUGUUUCUGUUUUCGGACUCAUAAAGAAGCCGCUCCAUUUAGACUUAAAAGUUUCCCCAUUUUGAAGAAUUAUCUUUUAUAUAUGUGAAAGAUCGAGCGCAGGAAAGGAUGCUCAAGCUAUUGAAGAUAUUCUCAAAGAGAUGGAGAUUAAAUAUAUGACAAAUGAAGGAGAAGCUGAUGUUAAUAUUUCAAAUCAAAAUGAAUCUGCUAAUGCGAAUACCUCCACAAUAUAAGACAUUUCCCGUUCUCAUCUGCCACUUAGAGAGGAACCUGGAAGUGCUUCUUCGGGAAGAAAGAGGAAAAAGAAUCAAGCUGACUUAUCAACAAUUUAUGAGGCCGUGAACACUAUGAUAGCUGAUAUGAAAGAGGCUUGUGUGAUGCUCUCAAAGAGUGUUCACUUUGACAUUGUUCAAGAAAAAUUCCUUGAACUUCCGAGAGCACUACAUAGUAUUGAUGGCCUUACUUCAGCACAAGUGUGCAUGGCUAUUCGAAAGUUCGAAAAACAUCCGAAUGAAGUCCUACUAUUUUUUGGUACCAACCUUGAAGACCUAUUGGAAAUGGUUCAGGAUUUCCAUGCAAAUGAUUAAAAGAGGACUACAAGUUGACCUUUUUCGUGAAUUUUUUUUGGGCUCUUGCUGUUAAGGUAAAAAUAAAAUUGCUCUAAUGCUGAAUAGUAGUUUGGUUCUUUUUUGCAAUACUAAUAGCUGUAAAGGUAAUUUGGUAUUUUUAUUUGGACAACUAUCUUUAGAGUGGUGUGAUA